CCUACGGGAGGCAGCAGUGAGGAAUAUUGGUCAAUGGCCGGAAGGCUGAACCAGCCAUGCAGCAUGAAGGUCAGUGCCCUACGGGCGUUAAACUUCUUUUGUGCGGGAGCAAUAAUGGUCACGUGUGGCCAGACGAGAGUACCGUACGAAUAAGCAUCAGCGAACUCUGGGACAGAAGCCGCGGUAAUACGGGGGAUGCAGGCGUUAUCCGGAUUUAUUGGGGUUAAAGGGUGCGUAGGCUGUGAGGUAAGUCAGCGGUGAAAUGCCCACGCUCAACGGGGUGAAGUGCCAUUGAUACUGCCUUGCUAGAGUGCGGAUGCGGUGGGAGGAAUGUGUGGUGUAGCGGUGAAAUGCAUAGAUA
rnacentral:rRNA from 1 species